AACCAUUCUCACCUGCGGCUAGACCUGCGGAGGGAUCAUUACAAGUGACCCCGGUCUAACCACCGGGAUGUUCAUAACCCUUUGUUGUCCGACUCUGUUGCCUCCGGGGCGACCCUGCCUUCGGGCGGGGGCUCCGGGUGGACACUUCAAACUCUUGCGUAACUUUGCAGUCUGAGUAAACUUAAUUAAUAAAUUAAAACUUUUAGCAACGGAUCU
rnacentral:misc_RNA from 1 species